rnacentral:snRNA from 1 species
AUACUCACGGCUCAUAUAUUAAAACCUGGAUCAAUACAGAGAAGAUUAGUGUGACCUUCCUGAAAGGAUGACAUGCAAAUUCAUGAAGCGUUCCUUACUUUU